UGCCUAGGGAAGACUGGGUGGUCCCUGGA
rnacentral:piRNA from 1 species